rnacentral:rRNA from 1 species
UACGUAGGGUGCGAGCGUUGUCCGGAAUUAUUGGGCGUAAAGAGCUUGUAGGUGGUUUGUCGCGUCUGCUGUGAAAAUCCGAGGCUCAACCUCGGACUUGCAGUGGGUACGGGCAGACUAGAGUGUGGUAGGGGAGACUGGAAUUCCUGGUGUAGCGGUGGAAUGCGCAGAUAUCAGGAGGAACACCGAUGGCGAAGGCAGGUCUCUGGCC